CUCUAAACUGUUAGAGUUUUUGUCCGCCUCAGCUGGAUGUUGAUAUUAGAUCGAUAUUCAUAUCUUGGUAAAUCAUAGUUAGCAUAGGAGAAAGGCAUGCUUGGUAUGUAGCUGUGAUAGUUAGUGCUAGCUUUUAGUUUUGCAAUGUUAUUAUGAAACAUAGAUAUGGUCUUGGCCAGUUGCCCCUCGUUUCUAAAAAGGGCUAUAAAGGGACUUUCUGAAAUAACUGAGAUGAGAUCUCCCCACGGAAAGAAGACGAAUCUAUUGGCAGGAGACCACGAGGACUUCAUCUCAUCCAUUGAAGAACUCCGAGGGACAUGAAGAAGACCACAUAAACCAUGAUAAGACUAGUGAUACUUUUCUGCAUCCUACCACAACACCAGGGCCAAAAACCAGCUGAGUGGCCAUGGUCUGAAGCUACCAUUAGGCUACCAACAUUGAUGAGUCCUGAAGACUUAGCAACAACACUACAAAAUCGUGCUGAUGGAGCUCUCCUGAUGACAAUCGUGAGUCAUGGGGUGGUGUAAGAGACGGUCUGAAGAUCCCUCAUCUGCCUCACGAUCAUCGCUGAGGACAGAGGCUAAACACAGGAGUUCUGACCUGCCUAAGAUGGGAUGUCUGCCAAGUGUUGCCUGCAGGUGUGCCCGCUGGGAACUGGUAUGCAUUCCUGAGGAAAUUUGUGCAGGUCACAGUGGACUGCGCUGUUCUUGCUGCCCAGGCAGGAAGGACUGCGCUGAAGCAGAAAGGAAUGACCUGUCCUGUACACCUGUCCUGUACC